rfam:Picea glauca, whole genome shotgun sequence.
AUGUAAUGCCUAUGAAGUCAAUGCACUAGAUCCCAUUAUACAUCCAUAGUUAAUCAUGCUUGUGCUAGAGUAGUAUUUGGAUGGGUGACCACUUGGGAUGUCCUAUUGUUUUACAUG